rnacentral:rRNA from 1 species
GACGAACGCUGGCGGCGUGCCUAAUACAUGCAAGUUGAGCGCUGAAGGUUGGUACUUGUACCAACUGGAUGAGCAGCGAACGGGUGAGUAACGCGUGGGGAAUCUGCCUUUGAGCGGGGGACAACAUUUGGAAACGAAUGCUAAUACCGCAUAAAAACUUUAAACACAAGUUUUAAGUUUGAAAGAUGCAAUUGCAUCACUCAAAGAUGAUCCCGCGUUGUAUUAGCUAGUUGGUGAGGUAAAGGCUCACCAAGGCGAUGAUACAUAGCCGACCCGAGAGGGUGAUCGGCCACAUUGGGACUGAGACACGGCCCAAACUCCUACGGGAGGCAGCAGUAGGGAAUCUUCGGCAAUGGACGAAAGUCUGACCGAGCAACGCCGCGUGAGUGAAGAAGGUUUUCGGAUCGUAAAACUCUGUUGGUAGAGAAGAACGUUGGUGAGAGUGGAAAGCUCAUCAAGUGACGGUAACUAUCCAGAAAGGGACGGCUAACUACGUG